AUGUGGCUGCUGCCUCGCCGUUAGGGAGAGUGGGUGUGCCAGCCUCCCAGUGAGGGUACCCAGCCUCCCAGCGAGGACACCCAGGUUCCCCGCGAGGACACCCAGCUUCCCAGAGAGGACACCCAGCCUCCCCGCAAGGACACCCAGCCUCCCAGUGAGGAGUUGCCUCUGGGCCCCUGCUGUCCUGGGCUUUUUUUGCAUAUGUCAUGUCUUGACUUCCAAGGUAGACACUGUUCACUGCUCCGUUUAAGGUGAGGGAACGGGAGGCUGAGAGAGGGAGGAAACCGCCCCAUCCGUUCCCUUCUAGAGUGUCUGGCUCUUCCCCUCCUCCAGCCCCAAGCACCUGGUUUCAAGCUCAUCCUGAACUCGCCACCAGCCCUUGGCUCAGCCCUCUGGGGACAAUAAAAGUGACCCAGGUGUGUCCAUGCCUUAGGGACCUCUCGAUCUCCUCUCUGGUCCUCGCACCUGCCAGGCUCAGCGGGAGGCAGCAGGUCUGGACCCAUUCAUUGCCAGGGCAGCAAAUUCAGCUCCUCUUUCCAAUGAGCCUGCUGCUGACCAGAGCUGCAGCACCUGUGGUCUCCAACGAUCCUGACUCCGCAGAAGGCAGUCCCACCCCUGCCUGGUGCUGCCCUGCCCCUAGGGAGCUGCCCAAGUUGGGAGGAGGCAGCCAGACCCUUUCCACGGAGCUCACGGCACAGGGACCCAAAAUAUGUCCAAAGGGAUAUUACAAAAAAAAAAAAAAAAAAGAUGCUAUCCAGUAGAGGAAAACAUAGAUUCUGUGGAAGAAGCCAGUCACAAAGGACAAAUCCUGCAGGAAUCCACUCAUAUGAGAUGAACACAAAUUCUGGAGAUCUGUGGUGGCUGCCCCUGGACGUGACAGUGUUAAUGCUGCUGAAGGGACACUUAAAAAUGGUGAGGACGGUAAUUUUCCAGUUGCGUGCAUCUGACCGCAAUUUAAUGAAGUUAGGAAAAGAGAAGCAUGAUCUCAUUCUUCAAAAAAAAAUUCUAUCAGUAACUUAUGGCUGUAUGCAUAGAAAAAUCUGGAAAGCUAUACAUAGAAUUGUAUAUCGUUAAGUCCGCAGGUGGAUAAGAUUGGAGAGGGUUGUCUAUACGACGCACUCUUCUAUCAUUUAAAACAGGAGCUUUUAGGAGUAGGA